rnacentral:rRNA from 1 species
AUGCUUCUCCUAAAGACUAAGCCAUGCAUGCCUCCGAAUAGAAGAGCUUUCUCUCUGAAUCUGCGAACGGCUCCGCAAAACAGUUGUAAACUAUAGCAAGCACGCUUAUCGGCCGCAAGGCUGGUGGGCUAUAUGGAUAACCCUGGUAAUUCUGAGGCUAAUACAAGAACGUACCCCCUGUCCGACUGGGCAACUGGAAGGGCGGGGAGCGUGCAACACGGCGCAAAAGAAACUGGGAAUCGGUGCACGCUCAGACCACCAUACAAACGGUUGACCUAGGCUUCGGCCCGGGGCUUCUGGGUGGCUCUUGCAAUGUGCUUCUGACCUAUCAACUAGAUGGCAGCGUAAGGGACAUGCUAUGGUUACAACGGGUACAGAGGAUAAGGGUUCGAUCCUGGAGAGUGGGCCUGAGAGAUUGCUCACACUUCUAAGGAAGGCAGCAGGCGCGCAACGUUCCCCUUGGGCAAUGCUCGAGGGCGUUAGGGGACAUAUGAAUGCCUGCCAUAUGGUGGGCAAUUCAAAUGGGACUGUUCUAAACAGCCUA